UCUGUUGAGCUUGACUCUAGUCUGACUCUGUGAAAAGACAUGAGAGGUGUAGAAUAAGUGGGAGUAGCAAUACGUCGGUGAAAUACCACUACUCUUAUCGUUUUUUUACUUAUUCGAUGAAGCGGAAGCGAACCGCAAGGUUCACGUUCUGGAUUUAAGGUCUCUCUUUUGCAGGCCGAUCCGUGUCGAAGACACUGUCAGGUUGGGAGUUUGGCUGGGGCGGCACAUCUGUCAAACGAUAACGCAGGUGUCCUAAGGUGAGCUCAAUGAGAACAGAAAUCUCAUGUAGAACAAAAGGGUAAAAGCUCACUUGAUUUUGAUUUUCAGUAUGAAUACAAACUGUGAAAGCAUGGCCUAUCGAUCCUUUAGUCUUUAGGAGUUUUAAGCUAGAGGUGUCAGAAAAGUUACCACAGGGGUAACUGGCUUGUGGCAGCCAAGCGUUCAUAGCGACGUUGCUUUUG
rnacentral:ncRNA from 1 species